GGGUCAGUAGGUUGGUCGUGCCACCGGUACGUACUGGUCUCACUGAUUCCUCCUUCCUGAGGAACCGUAAUGCCAUUAAUUUGGUGUUGCGGGGAAACAGGACUGUUACCUUGAAAAAAUUAGAGUGUUUAAAGCAAGCUAACGCUUGAAUACAUUAGCAUGGAAUAAUGAAAUAGGACGAUCGAUCCUAUUUUGUUGGUUUCUAGGAUUGACGUA
rnacentral:rRNA from 1 species